GUCGAACGGCAGCAUGAUCUAGCUUGCUAGAUUGAUGGCGAGUGGCGAACGGGUGAGUAAUACAUCGGAACGUGCCCUGUAGUGGGGGAUAACUAGUCGAAAGAUUAGCUAAUACCGCAUACGACCUGAGGGUGAAAGUGGGGGACCGCAAGGCCUCAUGCUAUAGGAGCGGCCGAUGUCUGAUUAGCUAGUUGGUGAGGUAAAGGCUCACCAAGGCGACGAUCAGUAGCUGGUCUGAGAGGACGAUCAGCCACACUGGGACUGAGACACGGCCCAGACUCCUACGGGAGGCAGCAGUGGGGAAUUUUGGACAAUGGGCGAAAGCCUGAUCCAGCAAUGCCGCGUGUGUGAAGAAGGCCUUCGGGUUGUAAAGCACUUUUGUCCGGAAAGAAAUGGCUCUGGUUAAUACCUGGGGUCGAUGACGGUACCGGAAGAAUAAGGACCGGCUAACUACGUGCCAGCAGCCGCGGUAAUACGUAGGGUCCAAGCGUUAAUCGGAAUUACUGGGCGUAAAGCGUGCGCAGGCGGUUGUGCAAGACCGAUGUGAAAUCCCCGAGCUUAACUUGGGAAUUGCAUUGGUGACUGCACGGCUAGAGUGUGUCAGAGGGGGGUAGAAUUCCACGUGUAGCAGUGAAAUGCGUAGAGAUGUGGAGGAAUACCGAUGGCGA
rnacentral:rRNA from 1 species